AGUGGCGGAUGGGUGAGUAACGCGUAAGAAACCUGCCUUUCACACCGGGAUAGCAGCUGGAAACGGCUAUUAAUACCGGAUGACACUUUUUCCCCGCAUGAGGAAGAGGUUAAAGAAUUUCGGUGAAAGAUGGUCUUGCGUCUGAUUAGCUAGUUGGUGGGGUAACGGCCUACCAAGGCGACGAUCAGUAGCCGGCCUGAGAGGGUGUACGGCCACAUUGGGACUGAGACACGGCCCAAACUCCUACGGGAGGCAGCAGUGGGGAAUUUUGCACAAUGGAGGAAACUCUGAUGCAGCGACGCCGCGUGAACGAAGAAGGUCUUCGGAUUGUAAA
rnacentral:rRNA from 2 species